rnacentral:rRNA from 1 species
CGUUGACCUCGGAUCAGGUAGGAAUACCCGCUGAACUUAAGCAUAUCAAUAAGCGGAGGAAAAGAAACCAACAGGGAUUGCCUUAGUAACGGCGAGUGAAGCGGCAACAGCUCAAAUUUGAAAUCUGGCCCCAGGCCCGAGUUGUAAUUUGCAGAGGAUGCUUUUGGCGCGGUGCCUUCCGAGUUCCCUGGAACGGGACGCCAUAGAGGGUGAGAGCCCCGUCUGGUUGGAUACCAAGCCUUUGUAAAGCUCCUUCGACGAGUCGAGUAGUUUGGAAUGCUGCUCUAAUGGGAGGUAUAUGUCUCUAAAGCUAAAUACCGGCCAGAGACCGAUAGCGCACAGUAGAGUGAUCGAAAGAUGAAAAGCACUUUGGAAAGAGAGUUAAACAGCACGUGAAAUUGUUAAAAGGGAAGCGUUUAUGACCAGACUUGGGCCGGUUAAUCAUCCAGCGUUCUCGCUGGUGCACUUUGCCGGUCCAGGCCAGCAUCAGUUCGCUGCGGGGGAUAAAGGCGUCGGGAAUGUGGCUCCUCUGGAGUGUUAUAGCCCUUCGCGCAAUACCCUGCGGUGGACUGAGGUUCGCGCAUCUGCAAGGAUGCUGGCGUAAUGGUCAUCAACGACCCGUCUUGAAACACGGACCAAGGAGUCGUCUUCGUAUGCGAGUGUUCGGGUGUAAAACCCCUACGCGUAAUGAAAGUGAACGCAGGUGAGAGCUUCGGCGCAUCAUCGACCGAUCCUGAUGUUCUCGGAUGGAUUUGAGUAAGAGCAUACGGGGCCGGACCCGAAAGAAGGUGAACUAUGCCUGUAUAGGGUGAAGCCAGAGGAAACUCUGGUGGAGGCUCGCAGCGGUUCUGACGUGC